rnacentral:rRNA from 1 species
AGCAGCCGCGGUAAUUCCAGCUCCAAUAGCGUAUAUUAAAGUUGUUGCAGUUAAAAAGCUCGUAGUUGAAUUUCGGGGUCAGUAGUUUGGUCGUGCCACUGGUAUGUACUGGGCUCACUGAUUCCUCCUUCCUGAUGAACUGUAAUGCCAUUAAUUUGGUGUUGCGGGGAAACUGGACUGUUACUUUGAAAAAAUUAGAGUGUUUAAAGCAAGCUAACGCUUGAAUACAUUAGCAUGGAAUAAUGAAAUAGGACGUUCGAUCCUAUUUUGUUGGUUUCUAGGAUUGACGUAAUGAUUAAUAGGGAUAGUUGGGGGCAUUAGUAUUCAAUUGUCAGAGGUGAAAUUCUUGGAUUUAUUGAAGACUAACUACUGCGAAAGCAUUUGCCAAGGAUGUUUUCAUUAAUCAAGAACGAAAGUUAGGGGAUCGAAGACGAUCAGAUACCGUCGUAGUCUUAACCAUAAACUAUGCCGACUAGGGAUCGGAUGAUGUUGAUUUUUUAAUGACUCAUUCGGCGCCUUA